UUCUUCUUCUUCUUCUUCUUCUUUUCUUCCUUUUGUUUUUCCUUUCCUACUGCGCUCGCUCUUGUUGAGA
rnacentral:ribozyme from 1 species